CNAUACNUGCAGUCGAGCGAAUGACGAGGAGCUUGCUCCUCUGAUUUAGCGGCGGACGGGUGAGUAACACGUGGGCAACCUGCCCUGCAGACUGGGAUAACUUCGGGAAACCGGAGCUAAUACCGGAUAAUCCAUUUUACUUCAUGGUGAAAUGUUGAAAGGCGCUUUCGCGCCACUGCAGGAUGGGCCCGCGGUGCAUUAGCUAGUUGGUGGGGUAACGGCCUACCAAGGCGACGAUGCAUAGCCGACCUGAGAGGGUGAUCGGCCACAUUGGGACUGAGACACGGCCCAAACUCCUACGGGAGGCAGCAGUAGGGAAUCUUCCACAAUGGACGAAAGUCUGAUGGAGCAACGCCGCGUGAGUGAUGAAGGUUUUCGGAUCGUAAAACUCUGUUGUAAGGGAAGAACAAGUACGUUAGGAAAUGAACGUACCUUGACGGUACCUUAUUAGAAAGCCACGGCUAACUACGUGCCAGCAGCCGCGGUAAUACGUAGGUGGCAAGCGUUGUCCGGAUUUAUUGGGCGUAAAGCGCGCGCAGGUGGUUUCUUAAGUCUGAUGUGAAAUCUCGCGGCUCAACCGCGAGCGGUCAUUGGAAACUGGGGAACUUGAGUGCAGAAGAGGAUAGUGGAAUUCCAAGUGUAGCGGUGAAAUGCGUAGAGAUUUGGAGGAACACCAGUGGCGAAGGCGACUGUCUGGUCUGUAACUGACACUGAGGCGCGAAAGCGUGGGGAGCAAACAGGAUUAGAUACCCUGGUAGUCCACGCCGUAAACGAUGAGUGCUAAGUGUUAGGGGGUUUCCGCCCCUUAGUGCUGCAGCUAACGCAUUAAGCACUCCGCCUGGGGAGUACGACCGCAAGGUUGAAACUCAAAGGAAUUGACGGGGGCCCGCACAAGCGGUGGAGCAUGUGGUUUAAUUCGAAGCAACGCGAAGAACCUUACC
rnacentral:rRNA from 1 species